UGCGUAGGCGGUCGGGUAAGUUUGAUGUGAAAUCUCUGGGCUUAACCCAGAAAUGGCAUUGAAUACUAUUCGGCUAGAGAGUCGGAGGGGGGACGUGGAAUACUUGGUGUAGCAGUGAAAUGCGUAGAUAUCAAGUGGAACACCAGUGGCGAAGGCGAGUCCCUGGACGAUUUCUGACGCUGAGGCACGAAAGCUGGGAGCAAACA
rnacentral:rRNA from 1 species